rnacentral:tRNA from 1 species
AUUUAUGAAGUUUAUAAAACAUUUCAUUUUCAUUGAAAAGAGGAAUAAUAUUCCAUAAAUG